AUAUUUCUCACGUCUUGUAGGAGGCUAUUUCCCCCUUUAAUUGAACUUCUAAUAACAACAAAACAGUAAAUGCAUUUCUAAACCACGUCAAGCUUCAACCAACUCAUUUAAUACAAGUACUUUCCAAAAACUAUAGGCAGCAUAUAUAUCACCAAUUGAUGAAUAUCUUGUGCAUGUGAUGAUCAAGCAGCAUGAGUUAAAAGCAACUACAAAACUAUGAUUUAAAUUAGCGCAGAUCAACUUACACUUGGGCGACCAUUUUUGUCAUAGUGGAUUGCAUAUCGUAUCAGUUCACCCAUCUCGGAGAAGAGUUCCUGUGUAGCAAUUCCUUUUAUAACAGAUCUUGAAAGAUAUCUAUUGCAAAGAAGUAUAUAUGUGAAGGA